GCGCCUGUAGCUCAGUCGGAUAGAGCACCUGCCUUCUAAGCAGGUUGUCGCUGGUUCGAUUCCAGCCAGGCGCA
rnacentral:tRNA from 1 species